AAUGAACGCUGGCGGCGUGCUUAACACAUGCAAGUCGAACGAGAAAGGGAUUGCUUGCAGUCCCGAGUAGAGUGGCGCACGGGUGAGUAACACGUAGAUAAUCUGCCUUCAAGCCUGGGAUAACUAUUCGAAAGGGUAGCUAAUACCGGAUAAAGUCGAUCUACACAAGUAGAUUGAUGAAAGAUUGCCUCUUCUUGAAAGCAAUUGUUUGGAGAUGAGUUUGCGUACCAUUAGCUUGUUGGUGGGGUAAAGGCCUACCAAGGCAACGAUGGUUAGCUGGUCUGAGAGGAUGAUCAGCCACACUGGAACUGGAACACGGUCCAGACUCCUACGGGAGGCAG
rnacentral:rRNA from 1 species